UCGGGAAUUUUGGGCAAUGGGCGAAAGCCUGACCCAGCAACGCCGCGUGAAGGAUGAAGUAUUUCGGUAUGUAAACUUCGAAAGAAUAGGAAGAAUAAAUGACGGUACUAUUUAUAAGGUCCGGCUAACUCCGUGCCAGCAGCUGCGGUAAUACGGAGGGUGCAAGCAUUGAUCGGAAUUACUGGGCGUAAAGGGCGCGUAGGCGGCUCGAUAAGUCGGAUGUGGAAUUCCGGGGCUCAACCCCGGAGCGGCAUUUGAAACUGUCGAACUAGAGUACAGUUAGGGUAAACGGAAUUCCACGUGUAGCGGUGAAAUGCGUAGAUAUGUGGAAGAACACCGGUGGUGAAGACGGUUUACUGGGCUGUAACUGACGCUGAGGCGCGAAAGCAUGGGGAGCAAACAGGAUUAGAUACCCAGGUAGUCCCUGAGCGGGCUGGCAAGGCGCAU
rnacentral:rRNA from 1 species